UAAACCUCUGGAUGCUGUGGACUCAUGCUCAUAACAACUGAGUGAAAAUUCACUUAUACUGUUGAGCAUCAUGGAACACUGCACCACACAACACAGGGGAAAUCUCUCCCUCUACCACUUCACCUACAAAAGAUGGGCAGGCAUUAGCUGUGAGAAGACAAUGGAAUUGUACAUAUCAUAUCUGUGUGGCUAAACAGCUAAGCAGCUAACAACUUGGGAUCAAUAAAGGAGCAGAUAGAAACUGAAAAAGUAUACUGGUGUGGCUGAAGAGGACUUGGAGACAGUCUUAGUUCUCAGACAGUUGCACUUGGUCUGAAUGUUGGACAGUGGUAGUACUAUUAUCAGAAAUGUAAUGAUUUGGAGCUAUAAAUGAUGGAAGAUUUAUGUACAGAUUUCAGUAGAGGUGGCAUCCAGGGAAACUUCCUUGAUGUCCUGCACAGAUGUCACUGCUGACUCAUUUAGGUUUAGAGUUUUCCAUAAGAAGUGGUUCUUCAGAACGGGCUUGGAUUUGUUCCUCCGUAUCUGCCUCUUGCCUCCUGCAUUUUAGAAGGUUUGAAAACCACUGCCAGGUAAGAGUUUCUUUUUGAUGUGUUUGAUGUUGCAGUCUCCUCUGUUCAUACUGCCAGUUCAUUUGCAGGUAUUCUGUCUAGUAGUUUUUCAUAAG